CAAACCAAAGCUGGCGACCGGCGCACGGGUGAGUAACACGUAUCCAACCUGCCUCAUACUCGGGGAUAGCCUUUCGAAAGAAAGAUUAGUAUCCGAUAGCAUAUAUUUCCCGCAUGGGUUUUAUAUUAAAGAAAUUCGGUAUGAGAUGGGGAUGCGUUCCAUUAGUUUGUUGGGGGGGUAACGGCCCACCAAGACUACGAUGGAUAGGGGUUCUGAGAGGAAGGUCCCCCACAUUGGAACUGAGACACGGUCCAA
rnacentral:rRNA from 1 species